AAACUGCCUCAGCCCUCUAGGACACACCCUCUCCAUCCUGGAGUACUCUGCAGGAUUGCAGCCUUGUUACACAGCCAGUAUUGCAGUGCUUUGUGCUUUUCGAAUCCACACAGGGUUGACUCAGCCCUUUGUUCUUUUGAGCUUUUACUUGGCUGAAAUCUCCAUGGCUUUGGGGCAUUUACAUCAAAAAGGGAUCAUCUACAGAGACCUGAAGCCGGAGAACAUCAUGCUUAAUCACCAAGGUCACGUGAAGCUGACAGACUUUGGACUAUGCAAAGAAUCUAUUCAUGAUGGAACAGUCACGCACACAUUUUGUGGAACAAUAGAAUACAUGGCCCCUGAAAUCUUGAUGAGAAGCGGCCACAACCGUGCUGUGGAUUGGUGGAGUUUGGGAGCAUUAAUGUAUGACAUGCUGACUGGAGCAGUAGCCUCCAUUCACUGGGGAGAAUAGAAAGAAAACAAUUGACAAAAUCCUCAAAUGUAAACUUAAUUUGCCUCCCUACCUCACACAAGAAG
rnacentral:lncRNA from 1 species